rnacentral:rRNA from 1 species
UACGUAGGUGGCAAGCGUUGUCCGGAAUUAUUGGGCGUAAAGCGCGCGCAGGUGGUUUCUUAAGUCUGAUGUGAAAGCCCACGGCUCAACCGUGGAGGGUCAUUGGAAAUUGGGGAACUUGAGUGCAGGAGAGAAGAGUGGAAUUCCACGUGUAGCGGUGAAAUGCGUAGAGAUGUGGAGGAACACCAGUGGCGAAGGCGACUCUUUGGCCUGUAACUGACACUGAGGCGCGAAAGCAUGGGGAGCGAACAGG